GUUUCCCCUUGUGCAGUCUCUGCGGCUUCUUCUACAUAAGGAGGGUCAAAAGGGAAGGCAGGAAUUUAAGUGGGAGAGAGAGUGCUCAGAAAUAUUAGGGAGCUGAAGCCCUCGCAGAUGGAAUAGUUAGUGACCAGUCCCUGGUGACAUGAAUAUAAAAAUCCAGCCAUUUCUCUAUUUUACUGGUCACCAUCUUCUACUCAUUGGACUCAACAAACUUAUGCGGUCACUAACCAG